UCCUGCAGCGCCUGCCUCUUCCCCUUCGGCCCAAGAAGAAAGGCGCGUGGAGGAGAGAAGCGGGGCUUUUGGGGGCGCCUCCCGGAUCGGGACCUGGACGGAGGAAGGGGUGAGACUGAGUUGAUGUCUGUUUUGGGGACCAAAAACAAAGAAACAAAUCCCAGAUCCCUCCAACAUUUGCAAGUGACAUUCUCCAAGAGGUCUAUGGCUCCUGGAGUGUUAUAUAGAAAUUCUGCCAAGGUGGGAAUGUCCUCAUAGCUUUCUGUCACCUCUACCGCUGGAAAAAGACUCCUUCCCCUUUGAGUCCCUGUUGACCAUUUCCAGACCUCCGGAGAAGACCUCCUGGUGACAUCUGUGGAGACAAUAUGUGCUGUCAGGAGUGGUUGUUUGAGAAAGCCAACAGACCAGGAACAAUUCAGAUAUGCUCCCCGUUGAAGAAAGUUAUGAAGAGAUUUUACCGUUGUUAUGGACAGAUAUUCCUGUUGGUGUUGGACCUGUUGAUCCCAUAGAGGUUGUAGUUGAAAAACCUAAGAGUUCUAUUAAUAAAGAGUUUAUUGUUAAACAACUCUUUCUCUUGUCAUUUCCCACCAAAACUAAGGAACUGUCAGACACUUAACAAGGAACUUGAUCACAGGAUCAGGUAGAACCUCCAAGAACACUACCUUUUAUUCAAAACA